GAAGAAACGGUGGGGGCUAAUAUCCUUCGCUAAUGACGGUACCUGAAGAAUAAGCACCGGCUAACUACGUGCCAGCAGCCGCGGUAAUACGUAGGGUGCAAGCGUUAAUCGGAAUUACUGGGCGUAAAGCGUGCGCAGGCGGUUUUGUAAGUCUGUCGUGAAAGCCCCGGGCUCAACCUGGGAAUUGCGAUGGAGACUGCAAGGCUUGAAUCUGGCAGAGGGGGGUAGAAUUCCACGUGUAGCAGUGAAAUGCGUAGAGAUGUGGAGGAACACCGAUGGCGAAGGCAGCCCCCUGGGUCAAGAUUGACGCUCAUGCACGAAAGCGUGGGGAGCAAACAGGAUUAGAUACCCUGGUAGUCCACGCCCUAAACGAUGUCUACUAGUUGUCGGGUUCUAAUUAACUUGGUAACGCAGCUAACGCGUGAAGUAGACCGCCUGGGGAGUACGGUCGCAAGAUUAAAACUCAAAGGAAUUGACGGGGACCCGCACAAGCGGUGGAUGAUGUGGAUUAAUUCGAUGCAACGCGAAAAACCUUACCUACCCUUGACAUGUCAGGAAGUCUUGAGAGAUCAGGAUGUGCCCGAAAGGGAACCUGAACACAGGUGCUGCAUGGCUGUCGU
rnacentral:rRNA from 1 species